rnacentral:tRNA from 1 species
AGGGCAGUAGCUUAUUAUGGUUAAAGCGCUCACUUCAUGUGAGAGUUCCUGGUUCGAUUCCAGGUUGCCAAA